UACGUAGGGGGCUAGCGUUGUCCGGAAUCAUUGGGCGUAAAGCGCGCGUAGGCGGCCCGGUAAGUCCGCUGUGAAAGUCAAAGGCUCAACCUUUGAAUGUCAGCGGAUACUGCCGGGCUAGAGUCCGGAAGAGGCGAGUGGAAUUCCUGGUGUAGCGGUGGAAUGCGCAGAUAUCAGGAGGAACACCGGUGGCGAAGGCGGGUCUCUGGGCAGUAACUGACGCUGAGGAGCGAAAGCGUGGGGAGCGAACAGG
rnacentral:rRNA from 1 species